rnacentral:rRNA from 1 species
GAUGAACGCUGGCGGCGUGCCUAAUACAUGCAAGUCGAGCGAACGGACGAGAAGCUUGCUUUUCUGAUGUUAGCGGCGGACGGGUGAGUAACACGUGGAUAACCUACCUAUAAGACUGGGAUAACUUCGGGAAACCGGAGCUAAUACCGGAUAAUAUUUUGAACCGCAUGGUUCAAAAGUGAAAGACGGUCUUGCUGUCACUUAUAGAUGGAUCCGCGCUGCAUUAGCUAGUUGGUAAGGUAACGGCUUACCAAGGAAACGAUGCAUAGCCGACCUGAGAGGGUGAUCGGCCCCACUGGAACUGAGACGCGGUCCUGGCUCCUACGGGAGGCAGCAGUAGGGAAUCUUCCGCAAUGGGCGAAAGCCUGACGGAGCAACGCCGCGUGAGUGAUGAAGGUCUUCGGAUCGUAAAACUCUGUUAUUAGUGAAGAACAUAUGUGUAAGUAACUGUGCACAGCUUGACGGUACCUAAUCAGAAAGCCACGGCUAACUACGUG